GCGUGGUCUGAUGAGCAGUGCCAUGUCCACGCCCAGGAUUCGAACCAACGAAACCCUGGGCCACCUGCAGCGGAGCGCGCCAACUUAACCACUCGACCACGGGGCUAGCCCCUCACCUCAACUCUUCUAAUCUUAAAAUGGCGAACAAGACCUUUGCAAAGAUCUGCCUGAUCUUUUUAUCAUUGAUAAAAAUGAUCUGCUUUAUCACUGUCAAAUCUACCAUCUCAUGUGAUUUUUACUGCAAACAUGAGAGGUAAGUAGAACAAAAGCCAAAUGAUUAAUACUGAGGUUUCAAAGACAGUAUGACAAAAAUCUAUGUUUUUUGACUCCUAUUUUAGUGUUCUUUGAGGGGCGCUAAAACGACGAUCUUAUCAUUGGCCCUUACUUGUCAAGAGUUUUGGAAUGGGAAAGGCUACAAAUGAACUAUGCGUAACUACAUUUUCUAAAGGUAAAUCUCAUGGAAUUCUAAAAUGGUAGGAGUAACAGACUUUGUUCGAAGCCCCAGGUCUUGGCUUCCUUCAGGCCAGAACUGGAGACGUAAAGAAAGAAAUCACUUCUGCCUGUUUGUUAGACAUUUGGCUUUUCAUUUUUCCUAGGUUUCCACUGAAUUAUGAUUUAUAUAACUAUAAAUACAGAUAUAAAUUCAAAGAGAUAAAAAGAUGAUAAAAAUUUUCCUGUGCAUAUGUGUGUGUGUGUGUGUAUAUAUAUACAUAUAUAUAUAUAUAUAUAUACACACACACACAGAGAGUGCACGAGACAAUAUGAAUAAUUCAUGGUACAAGCAAGUUUUAAAAUCUCUAAUUUGCUAGAACACAUUUCAAUAGCACUAUUUAAAAUGUGAAAUGAAAUUUGAAUAAAGAUUAAAAUUUCAACUUACCAAACUGUAAUUUCUUCAUAACAGCCACAUAUUUUUCUUCAAGUGAUUUCAAUACUGAUAAAGGUUUGGGUUUCAUAGCCACCUUCUUUGAAUAUUCACCUAUAUUGUACCUUGAUUUGCUUGCCGCAAACUGGUAGUGGCUGCAUAAACAAUUUCAGCCGUCUUUUGGAUGUCUGGUACCAAAAGAGUAAGUCCUUCUGGUUCUUGAUCAGAUGAAUCUGGUUUUACUCCUGUUUUAACAUUUUCUCUUUUAGAUCUGAAAUUUUUUUUUAAUAUGGAAAGAAAUACAAGGAAAAUUAAGACUUUAGGAUUGAAAAAUAAAUAUCUCUAUAAGUCAAUAA
rnacentral:lncRNA from 1 species